UACAGGGGGGGCAAGCGUUGUUCGGAAUUACUGGGCGUAAAGGGCUCGUAGGCGGCCAACUAAGUCACACGUGAAAUCCCCAGGCUUAACCUGGGAACUGCGUGUGAUACUGGAUGGCUUGAAUUCGGGAGAGGGAUGCAGAAUUCCAGGUGUAGCGGUGAAAUGCGUAGAUAUCUGGAGGAACACCGGUGGCGAAGGCGGUGGUCUGGGCCGGAACUGACGCUGAGGAGCGAAAGCGUGGGGAGCGAACAGG
rnacentral:rRNA from 1 species